GACGAACGCUGGCGGCGUGCCUAAUACAUGCAAGUCGAGCGGACAGAUGGGAGCUUGCUCCCUGAUGUUAGCGGCGGACGGGUGAGUAACACGUGGGUAACCUGCCUGUAAGACUGGGAUAACUCCGGGAAACCGGGGCUAAUACCGGAUGGUUGUUUGAACCGCAUGGUUCAGACAUAAAAGGUGGCUUCGGCUACCACUUACAGAUGGACCCGCGGCGCAUUAGCUAGUUGGUGAGGUAACGGCUCACCAAGGCGACGAUGCGUAGCCGACCUGAGAGGGUGAUCGGCCACACUGGGACUGAGACACGGCCCAGACUCCUACGGGAGGCAGCAGUAGGGAAUCUUCCGCAAUGGACGAAAGUCUGACGGAGCAACGCCGCGUGAGUGAUGAAGGUUUUCGGAUCGUAAAGCUCUGUUGUUAGGGAAGAACAAGUGCCGUUCAAAUAGGGCGGCACCUUGACGGUACCUAACCAGAAAGCCACGGCUAACUACGUGCCAGCAGCCGCGGUAAUACGUAGGUGGCAAGCGUUGUCCGGAAUUAUUGGGCGUAAAGGGCUCGCAGGCGGUUUCUUAAGUCUGAUGUGAAAGCCCCCGGCUCAACCGGGGAGGGUCAUUGGAAACUGGGGAACUUGAGUGCAGAAGAGGAGAGUGGAAUUCCACGUGUAGCGGUGAAAUGCGUAGAGAUGUGGAGGAACACCAGUGGCGAAGGCGACUCUCUGGUCUGUAACUGACGCUGAGGAGCGAAAGCGUGGGGAGCGAACAGGAUUAGAUACCCUGGUAGUCCACGCCGUAAACGAUGAGUGCUAAGUGUUAGGGGGUUUCCGCCCCUUAGUGCUGCAGCUAACGCAUUAAGCACUCCGCCUGGGGAGUACGGUCGCAAGACUGAAACUCAAAGGAAUUGACGGGGGCCCGCACAAGCGGUGGAGCACGUGGUUUAAUUCGAAGCAACGCGAAGAACCUUACCAGGUCUUGACAUCCUCUGACAAUCCUAGAGAUAGGACGUCCCCUUCGGGGGCAGAGUGACAGGUGGUACAUGGUUGUCGUCAGCUCGUGUCGUGAGAUGUUGGGUUAAGUCCCGCAACGAGCGCAACCCUUGAUCUUAGUUGCCAGCAUUCAGUUGGGCACUCUAAGGUGACUGCCGGUGACAAACCGGAGGAAGGUGGGGAUGACGUCAAAUCAUCAUGCCCCUUAUGACCUGGGCUACACACGUGCUACAAUGGACAGAACAAAGGGCAGCGAAACCGCGAGGUUAAGCCAAUCCCACAAAUCUGUUCUCAGUUCGGAUCGCAGUCUGCAACUCGACUGCGUGAAGCUGGAAUCGCUAGUAAUCGCGGAUCAGCAUGCCGCGGUGAAUACGUUCCCGGGCCUUGUACACACCGCCCGUCACACCACGAGAGUUUGUAACACCCGAAGUCGGUGAGGUAACCUUUAUGGAGCCAGCCGCCGAAGGUGGGACAGAUGAUUGGGGUGAAGUCGUAACAAGGUAACC
rnacentral:rRNA from 1 species